UUGUCACCCGCUUCAAGCUAAUUCACCCCUACUGGCUACUUCCCUACACAGUUCUUUAUUAUUUAAAAUUAAAAUGAAUAAAAGUCCCCUCCCAGAAAAGCAUUAUUAACGUCCUUUGACUGAAGACUUCUGAUGUAUAUCCACAAAUCCUUGCCACACAUAGGGGUGGCCACGGCUCAUGUUGUCGUUCCAAUGACUUUCUUAAAUUUAUUUUAAAAUUUGCUUGUGGUCAAUGAAGUUUCGAAUGGGAAAAAUAGCAGGUUGAGAGUUCAUGUUUCCUCUGAAUUGAUGUGUGAAAAUAACAGGGAACUGCUGAGGAGCCUAAGGCUAUGAAUCCAUCAACUUAAGCUUUUUUCCUGUGUCCUAUUUGCUGAAGGGUUUAGUAGAUUCUUGUGAAUAUUACUGGUUAUUUAAUAACUUUAAGUUUCCAAGGUUCUCCUAGCGAAGAUCGGAACUUAGGAGUGAUGCUGAUGAUACAGAGACAGAUGAGGCAUCCUUUUCUGGCCAAGAAGAUUCUAAUGAUUCAUGAUAUUCUUUGAAUGGGCUAAGG